GUAAAGAAAUUGAUGCUCAACUUACCUGAUCCUCAAACUUUGAGUCAAGCAAUCGAUUUUGCGGUAAAAUGUGAUAAUCGACUUUUUGAAUUUCGAUCUGAGAAUCAUUCAUGGGAACCUCAACGUUAUUACUCAAUGGCAACAUCAACAUCUUUGCCAAACGUACAUUCGGAAGUAGAAGACAUGCAAAUUGACGCGGUACGUUUUAAACCUCUAACUGAGCAAGAAAAGAUUCGUCGUCGUCAAGAAGGAUUAUGUUUAUAUUGCGGAGAACCUAAGCACACUGCUCAA
rnacentral:lncRNA from 1 species